GAUGAACGCUGGCGGCGUGCCUAAUACAUGCAAGUCGAGCGAACAGACGAGGAGCUUGCUCCUCUGACGUUAGCGGCGGACGGGUGAGUAACACGUGGAUAACCUACCUAUCAGACUGGGAUAACUUCGGGAAACCGGAGCUAAUACCGGAUAAUAUAUUGAACCGCAUGGUUCAAUAGUGAAAGACGGUUUUGCUGUCACUUAUAGAUGGAUCCGCGCCGCAUUAGCUAGUUGUAAGGUAACGGCUUACCAAGGCAACGAUGCGUAGCCGACCUGAGAGGGUGAUCGGCCACACUGGAACUGAGACACGGUCCAGACUCCUACGGGAGGCAGCAGUAGGGAAUCUUCCGCAAUGGGCGAAAGCUUGACGGAGCAACGCCGCGUGAGUGAUGAAGGUCUUCGGAUCGUAAAACUCUGUUAUUAGGGAAGAACAAAUGUGUAAGUAACUAUGCACGUCUUGACGGUACCUAAUCAGAAAGCCACGGCUAACUACGUG
rnacentral:rRNA from 1 species